rnacentral:rRNA from 1 species
UUAAGAGAAUUAAGGGCACACGGUGGAUGCCUAGGUAAUAAGAGCCGAUGAAGGACGUGGUAAGCUGCGAUAAGCCUGGAGUAGUUGCAAUCGAACUUUGAUCCCAGGAUUUCCCAAUGGAGAAAUCUGCUAAGAUGGAGUCUUAGCGUGAAAACGGUAACCUGAUGAACUGAAACAUCUAAGUAGUCAGAGGAAAAGAAAGUAAAAACGAUUCCCUAAGUAGCGGCGAGCGAACGGGGACAAAGCCUAAAUCAUGUAAGUGUCAAGGAUGCAGCCGUUGCUUGCAUGAGGUAGUGGGAAGUUGCUUGAAGAACUGCAAGUUAUUCAGCGAUGUUAUUUCAACCAAUUAGAAUAAGCUGGAAAGCUUAACCAUAGAAGGUGAUAGUCCUGUAUAGGUAAAUUGGAAUAUGCGCGUGACUCUCCCGAGUAGCACGGAACACGAGGAAUUCUGUGUGAAUCUGCGAGGACCAUAUCUCGUAAGGCUAAAUACUCUUAUUAACCGAUAGCGUAUAGUACCGUGAGGGAAAGGUGAAAAGAACCCCGGGAGGGGAGUGAAAUAGAACCUGAAAUCGUGUGCUUACAAGCGGUCAGAGCCCUUCGGGGUGAUGGCGUGCCUUUUGGAGAAUGAUCCUGCGAGUUACGUUCAGUGGCGAGGUUAAGUAUACCGGAGCCGUAGGGAAACCGAGUCUUAAUAGGGCGCAUAGUCGCUGGGCGUAGACGCGAAACUUGGUGAUCUAAUCCUGUCCAGGGUGAAGCUGUGGUAAGACACAGUGGAGGCCCGAACUCACCGCCGUUGAAAAGUUGGGAGAUGAGAUAGGUUUAGGGGUGAAACGCCAAUCGAACUAAGAGAUAGCUCGUUCUCUCCGAAAUGCAUUUAGGUGCAGCCUUAGGAGAUAAAUUACGGGGGUAGAGCACUGAAUGGUCUAGGGGGCAUAUUGCUUACUGAAACCAACCAAACUCCGAAUACCGUAAUUCCCAUCCUAGGAGUGAGACUAUGGGUACUAAGAUCCAUGGUCAAAAGGGAAACAGCCCAGACCGUCAGCUAAGGUCCCUAAUUAUAGCUAAGUGGGAAAGGAGGUGGAGAUUCACAAACAACCAGGAGGUUGGCUUAGAAGCAGCCAUACCUUUAAAGAGUGCGUAAUAGCUCACUGGUCGAGAGUCUCUGCGCCGACAAUGUAACGGGGCUAAGCUAUAAACCGAAGCUACGGAAUUAUGCGUAUGCAUAAUUGGUAGGAGAGCGUUCUGUAGGCUGUUGAAGGAGGACUGAUAAGGAACUCUGGAGGUAUCAGAAGUGAGAAUGCAGGAAUAAGUAGCGAGAAAGAGGGUGAGAAUCCUUCUCGCCGGAAGACCAAGGUUUCCAGGGUAAAGCUUGUCUUCCCUGGGUAAGCCGGGACCUAAGCUGAGGCUAUAAUGCGUAGGCGAAUGGAAAACAGAUUAAUAUUUCUGUGCCACUUAUAUAUUGUGAAGGAGGGACGCAGAAGGGUAUGUAAGCAGGAGAACGGAAGUUCCUGUGUAAGCAUGUAGAGUGAAACGGCAGGCAAAUCCGCUGUUUUAGACUUGAGGUGUGAUGCGUAGCCCAUUAGGGCGAAUUUACAGAUCCCACGCUGCCAAGAAAAGCUUCUAGCGUUAAUAUAUAAGUGCCCGUACUGUAAACCGACACAGGUGGUCAGAAUGAGAAAUUUAAGGCGGACAGGCUAACUCUCGCUAAGGAACUCUGCAAAAUGAAUCCGUAACUUCGGGAGAAGGAUUGCCCCUUUGUGUAGAGAGCUACGCGCUCAAAGCAUGAGGGGGUCGCAGUGAAGAGGCUCAGGCAACUGUUUAACAAAAACAUAGGUCUAUGCUAAGCUGUAAGGCGAUGUAUAUGGGCUGACACCUGCCCAGUGCCGGAAGGUUAAGAGGAGGAGUGAGAGCUCCGAAUUGAAGCCCCGGUGAACGGCGGCCGUAACUAUAACGGUCCUAAGGUAGCGAAAUUCCUUGUCGGGUAA